UACAGAGGGGGCAAGCGUUAUUCGGAAUUAUUGGGCGUAAAGGGCGCGUAGGCGGCUUGGCAAGUGGAUGGUGAAAUCCCUCGGCUUAACCAAGGAACUGCCGUCCAAACUGCUUCGCUUGAGACCGGGAGAGGUGAGUGGAAUUCCCAGUGUAGCGGUGAAAUGCGUAGAUAUUGGGAGGAACACCAGUGGCGAAGGCGGCUCACUGGACCGGUACUGACGCUGAUGCGCGAAAGCGUGGGGAGCAAACGGG
rnacentral:rRNA from 1 species